AUUGAACGCUGGCGGCAUGCCUUACACAUGCAAGUCGAACGGCAGCACGGGGCAACCUGGUGGCGAGUGGCGAACGGGUGAGUAAUGCAUCGGAACGUACCUUUCAGGGGGGGAUAACGUAGCGAAAGUUACGCUAAUACCGCAUAUUCUGUGAGCAGGAAAGCAGGGGAUCGCAAGACCUUGCGCUGAUUGAGCGGCCGAUGUCAGAUUAGCUAGUUGGUGAGGUAAAGGCUCACCAAGGCGACGAUCUGUAGCGGGUCUGAGAGGAUGAUCCGCCACACUGGAACUGAGACACGGUCCAGACUCCUACAGGAGGCAGCAGUGGGGAAUUUUGGACAAUGGGGGCAACCCUGAUCCAGCCAUGCCGCGUGAGUGAAGAAGGCCUUCGGGUUGUAAAGCUCUUUCGGCCGGGAAGAAAUCGCACGGGCUAAUACCCUGUGCGGAUGACGGUACCGGAAUAAGAAGCACCGGCUAACUACGUGCCAGCCGCCGCGGUAACAC
rnacentral:rRNA from 1 species